rnacentral:rRNA from 1 species
CGUGGGUAACCUGCCCUUAAGUCUGGGAUACCAUUUGGAAACAGAUGCUAAUACCGGAUAACAACAGAUGAUGCCUAUCAACUGUUUAAAAGAUGGUUCUGCUAUCACUCUUGGAUGGACCUGCGGUGCAUUAGCUAGUUGGUAGGGUAACGGCCUACCAAGGCGAUGAUGCAUAGCCGAGUUGAGAGACUGAUCGGCCACAUUGGGACUGAGACACGGCCCAAACUCCUACGGGAGGCAGCAGUA